GACGAACGCUGGCGGCGUGCUUAACACAUGCAAGUCGAACGGAGUGGCGGACGGGUGAGUAACGCGUAAUCAACCUGCCCUUCAGAGGGGGACAACAGUUGGAAACGACUGCUAAUACGCCAUACUGAAGGACGAGUAUGCGUUUGAAUAGCUAGUUGGAUGGGUGACGGCCCACCAAGGCGAUGAUCAGUCGCCUGUCUGAGAGGAUGAACGGCCACAUUGGGACUGAGACACGGCCCAGACUCCUACGGGAGGCAGCAGUGGGGAAUCUUCCGCAAUGGACGAAAGUCUGACGAAGCAACGCCGCGUGAGUGAUGACGGCCUUCGGGUUGUAAAGCUCCGUUAAUCGGGACGCGGUACCGGAAUAGAAAGCCACGGCUAACUACGUGCCAGCAGCCGCGGUAAUUC
rnacentral:rRNA from 1 species